CCUACGGGUGGCAGCAGUGGGGAAUAUUGCACACUGGGGGAAACCCUGAUGCAGCAACGCCGCGUGAGUGAAGAAGUAUUUCGGUAUGUAAAGCUCUAUCAGCAGGGAAGACAAUGACAGUACCUGACUAAGAAGCCCCGGCUAACUACGUGCCAGCAGCCGCGGUAAUACGUAGGGGGCAAGCGUUCUCCGGAUUUACUGGGUGUAAAGGGAGCGUAGACGGCUGCGCAGGGCAGAAGUGAAAGCCCGGGGCUCAACCGCGGGACGGCUUUGGAAACUGUGUAGCUAGAGUGCAGGAGAGGUAAGUGGAAUUCCUAGGGUAGCGGUGAAAGGAGGAGAUAUUAGGAGGAACACCGGUGGCGAAGGCGGCUUACUGGACUGUAACUGACGUUGAGGCUCGAAAGCGUGGGGAGCAAACAGGAUUAGAUACCCCGGUAGUC
rnacentral:rRNA from 1 species